GGGCCCGUAGCUCAGUGGUUAGAGCAGUCGACUCAUAAUCGAUAGGUCGUAGGUUCGAUCCCUACCGGGCCCACCA
rnacentral:tRNA from 1 species